CAGACCCCACUAGGUGGGAAUACACUGGGUUUGUUGUUGUUGUUGUAUAGGAAACUGUGAUUUGAUGCAUUCAUAGUGGUAGCAAUUUAAAAGCAUUUUUAAGACACUUGUAUUGUUUUGGUAACUUAUAUUAUGUUUGGUUGCUUUUCACUGAUUUACUCAAUGCAAUAGAAAUGGUAAAAACUUUUGUUAUUUACUUUUUACCUUUUUAAGGAAGGGGUGAGGUCUACCGGAAAGAUCUUCUCUUUCUUUUUAAGAAAGUGGUGAGGUCACCGUACAUACUGCCCUACUGCCCUCCCAGACCUCACUUAUGGGAUUACUGGGUAUGUUGUUAGAAUGAUGAAGGAUUUGGAUUGUUGUUGUGUACCACAUUCUAGUUCGUUAUUUUAGUUGUGUGAUUUGAGGCUACAUGUUUGUUAUCUGCCAGCAUAAUCAGUGGAUUGUAUAUGUUGUCAAAACUUCAGACGGAGCUUAAGCUCUACUGAAUCUGCUUUUCUGUCUCAUUAUAGGGUAGGAGUUUUAUUCUUAUGCAGUUAUAUCACUCUUUCACUCUAUUCCCUUAUAACUCAGGUACUUCUACAAAAUACUAUUUGGAGAUCUGAGUUCAGUAAAUGACAUGGUAACUAGUAAAGAACUCCCAAAAGAUCCCGAUGAAUCUUCAGUGAUCAAAGAGAAAACAGAAGAACUGGGCCAUACAUAUUUCAAAGGGUUUCUUGGUCAUGGAAACAAAUGGGUAGUGUUUCUCCUAAACAUGAAUAUUGACAGUGUUACAGUGUUUCUUAAUAAAGCAGAUGGUUCUUACUUCUUAGCUUUGCUAUGUUUGUGCAAGAAAAUUUUCUGCUGGAUAUUAUGAAGGAGAUGAAGAAAGAGGUGAUGAAGAAAUCGACCUUACUUGAGAAGAUUUGUGAAUUGUAGAUAGAUGCUUUAAUACCGAUCUUUGUGAUAUUGAAUUUCGUGAAACUUAUCGGCACUCGAACUUGAUACUAUAUAGGAAAACUAAUGAUCAUGACUUUUAACAUUUUGCUUUUGGGUUUAGAUUACUAGUUUGUUGCAUAUUUUAAUUUGUAUUAUUAUUAUUAAUGAAACAUUUUGUUGUGAUGUGUA